rnacentral:lncRNA from 1 species
GGGACCCUAGAGUCAAGGAAAAACUUAGCCUUCGCUUCUAUUUAAACCUACCGACCCCCUUCGACCACCGAAUUCCUUUCUUUUCUCUUCUUCUUAAUUCCUAGUGUCAGCCUCAAUACCUCACUGAAAUAACGGUAAUAGACCUAGCCUCUCUCCUCUCCACCAUUCCUCAUCUUAAGGUAGUCAUCACCAAUCAGAUCACUGCCAAAUGCAUGCUAGAACCCAUUGCACAAAAACCUCCAGGUUCCAGUUUUCUUCUCUGUCAAUGAUUUGGAGCUGAGAUUCUUGCUGGAGUUCUGGCCGAGCUAGCUAGCUCUCAGCAACUUUCCGUGUCGAACGAUCCGAGCCGAGCAUAAUCAACACACUAAUCCUCUGUUUCAGCUGACAUUGAUAGUCUUUUUCUUCCUCUUUUCACCCAGCCAUUGGCUACCAUCAUUGGAAGCUAAACCUCCAGCCAAAGCCUUAUCCACUGGCAAGAUUCGACAUUG